AUGACACGGGACCCCAUUGUCGGCGGAACCCUGGCACCCCAGGGUUCCACUGCUGCCUGGCGCUACUCUGCAUUCCCAGGCAGUGGGAGGCACUCGUGCCUGGAUCUGGCUCACAGCCCCCGAACAAGCCCACUCUCCCCAGUACCCCAAUGCAUAAAGUGUAGGUGCUCACACAGCGACAAGUCGCAGAAAUCUUCAGUCUGCCCCAAGCCCGCAGGAACACUCACUGGAAGGCCCAUCCACCGCCAUCUCGGCGCCACCCCUGAGUUGGGAGACGUCACCCCAAGCAUCAGCUGUGAUAAUUUCUGGACCAUAAAGAACGCUUCUAAACCAACAGCACUGCCAUCCGGUUAUCUGCUCAUCUUGUGGCUCUGGCCACAGCAGACCCAAAGUCCUACCUUUGAUGGAAGCAUCUAAUAAGUGGCAAGUCUGAAAUUCUCAAGUUUCAAUUCCAAACUCAGAGGUUUCCCCUCAAAAGGGGAGAAAAGAAAAAAAGAAGAGAAGAAAAAAAAAAAGUCUGGCUAGAGAAGCAAAUACUUGAACUAAUAGCUACUGUUUCCUCAUCAAACAUUAAUAUCCUACCUUCUCCUGACUGCCUUAAAAGGACUCUCAGCAACAAAUUCUAUAAAAUUCUAAGGUUUUCAUUAAAAUGUUUGUUUAGAUAUGUGUUGUUUUCGGAAUAUCUUUUUUUCUGCCUGUGAUGACUGCUUGUGAC
rnacentral:lncRNA from 12 species